UUUGAGAUUAUUAGGGUUUUUUUUUGUUCUUCUCAUCAGAAAAUCAUCAUCGACGGCACAACUCGAUAAUCAUCGACAUCAUACUCUAAUUCUCGCAUACGGCAAAGUCGAUUAGAGCUUUUCUUUGUUCUUCUCACUGAAGAAUCCAACAUCAAGAUCUUCAGAUUAAUUCCUUUUUCUUCUUUAUUAUUCAAUCGAUCAAUCGAUUAAACUGAAAUCAGUCGCUAGGGUUCAAGAAUCUUCAUCUGGUUACCCAAGAAAUGUGGACCAUACCUUUGGGAAUCUCAGUCUCUCCCAAUUUCAACAAGUUGCCACUUUUCUCUCCUUCAUCUGAUUGUUGUUUUGAUGGGAUUUUUGUUUCCAUGGUGGCACUGUGGUUUUGCAGAUUGAAAACGUGAAAGCUUAAUUGAAUACAGCCGUGUUCCUCUGCAAUAAUCAUAUCUUCAGACGCCACCAUCGAAUCUUUUUUUGUUCAUCGAUUAUCGUCAAGGUAUGUUUUCAUGAUCUGAAUUAUUAUCCGCUAUAUGUAUGUCUUUGGCAGCCCUAUAAGAACUGCCGAAGCCCUUCUCAGGAUUAGAAAUGUAAAUGAACUAUUAAAGUGUGGAUUAAGUGUGUUUUGUGUUGUUUUGUUGAAGAAAUUGUGGAUCUGUGAGAUUCAUUUUUCAAAUAUCGAUGAUCUGUUGAUGCUUUUGGUUACUUGAACGACUUUUGAAGAGGUUUAUUGUAAAUGUGAGCUUAUGUGACCGACAAUACGACAUGUAUUCUUAUCUGCAAAAGUAGUGGCAGAGGAGACUUUCUGACAAACAAAUGUCGUCUGCCCAAAGAGGCAUAGGGCUAUACGGAAGCUACAAAGCAAAUUGAAGGCGACAGAGGACAAUUCAAAUAUCGUCUCCUUCAGGAACAUGCCAGAUAAGUACCGUUAGUUACUAUGGUUGGGAAUGACACAAGUCUUACAUAUUCUUACUUUUUGAUACUAAUGGCUUUGCUAUAAGCUUCUGUUGCUUGCAGAAAGAUAUUAGUAAUCAAUGGGUGUUUGUGGGUUAUCUUGAAGAUGCAAUCAUCAUAGAAGUUUAAUCCAACUUCAUCUAUCUUUCAUUACGUGUUUUAAAAUUUUUAGAGAAUCCCGACGAUAUCAAAGCUGCUCGGUAAAUUAUCGAAGAGAAUCAGAGUUGUUGAAGAUAAGAUUAUGAGAAAAUCUCGAAGUGUCUCUUUUUGACCCGUGUUACAGAGAAUUUCAUGUGUUAAUGCCUGGGAAAAAGUAGUAUAGAUGUUCAAAAGACACCCAGAGGGUUAAUUUUCAGGCAAAGAUGGAACAAUUAACAGCUUUUCACAACUUCAUCUUUCCUACUUACUGUCUAUUCCGACUACUUGACUUCGGCACAGUCACCCCACCUGAGCUGCUAGCGUUUGGCAAAUCUCAGGUACCCAGAAGUUAUAAUAUACAUUAUGACUUCAUAAAAGUCAGCUGCAGCUACUAUAGUUUUUAUGAAACUUUUUAAAUGAUUAUUGCGACCAAGGUAAGAAACACCCUUGCAGACAAAUGGUAAAAAACAAUAGGGUAGUAAUCAAAAUCUAAACUUUUGGAUUGGUUUUGGUUUUGUAGGUGGAUUAUAUACUUGGAUACGGCCCAAGAGCAAUAAGUUACAUGGAUGGAUACCGAAGCACUACCCACAAAAAGUACACAUUGUAAGAAUAAUGAGUGUGUUAAAGUGGGCUGUUAUGAAAGAGUAUCGGAUGGGCGCUAUUUGGGUUUUAAAUAAUCUAGGACACUAAUCAUUUGAAAACAUAAUAGAGUGACCCGUUUUAGUUCGAGCAACUUUUUGUUAUUUGACAUGUUUGUCAUCCUUAUUUGUAUGAACAAGAUUUUGUAUAAAUAUCUCUAUAUGAUUGUGCAAUUUUGACCAGAUUUAGGAUUGUUUCAGACUUUUUGGGAACCCAGUUUGCAGUAAUACCCUUAAGCAGACUCAGUAUUCCGACUCAGACAAUCUAUCUGACUAUCUCGGGAUAUUCUACAAGCUUCCCAGAUUUUGGGACCAAACCGUGUCGGUCUGAUCGAAAACCGAGUUCUCUAAGAUGUGACUGUGUUUAUCCAUAUGAAGGCAAUCUGUUCUUUCGAGCACCAUCUUUUCAGGUUUUAACUAAAGAUACAUUGUGGCAUUCACUAGAAUCCGACCUUUGGACAAAACGGUGCCUCACUCCGGGCUUACUCUCCAAAACACGUUCUUUGACAUCACAAUUAUCUUCAAAUGCAUGUGCAGUUCUUUCCAUCAAAAAGCAAGCAUUUUACAAUACUGGAGGUCCGGAAAAUGAGGUUUUGCUAACUUGGAAAGGAACCUGGUGAGUUGGCUGAAGCAAGAAACAAAUAGUAUUUGACUAUUAUUUUCUAUUUUGUUUUUAUUAUAUUAGGAUUGCUUGAUUGUGGUAACUUGAAAUUUAAGUCUGAUUGUGUUGCCUGCCCUUGAAUAUAGCAUUCUAACCUAUAUGUAUGCUCGUGUGCAUGUGCGCUUGCAAACCUGUUCAAUGGUAAUAUUUUUGUCUAUUUACCUUUUGAGGUUUACAUAUUGUUUAAUGUAUUGAACAUAUUCUAAACCUAGGUUAGAGUGAAACAUCUAAAAAUUUUGGAAGUCCAGGUUGGAGCUUUAUUCAAAGUUAAUAAUGCGCGAAGGAAAAACAUAAUAUAUAUAAAGAAUCGUUCAUGUAAAUUAGACACGAACCUAACUCGAAAUUCGUGAAUUUUGGUUUAGUUUAAAUGGAUUCGGGUAAGUUUCAGGUUGAACCGACGAACAUGUUUAGCUAAACAGGCCGGGUUUGUGACAACCCGUUCGGGUUGGAGGGCUUACCCGUUAUUUAUAUUAUGUUAUAUUUUUUAAAAUAUGAUUUACGUCAUAAAUUAAAUUGAGUAUGUAUUUUAUCUAUUAAUAUUGUUUAUUUUCCGUUUUUUAAGCCAUUUAGGGAAGGUAUAUAGUUAUUGUUUAUUGGUCAUAAUGUUUUAGGUGGUAACGUAAAUGUUGUCUCAAUCUCGAUAUGCUGAAUGAAUUUCAAUAUUUGAACAUACAAGAGUGUUAGCAAAGUAAGUUAUGAAUGGUUUGUCAAUGAAGAAAAGGUUCACAUAACCAUUGGAAUACUCGAAGUACUACGUGUCAAAUAAUUACCUUUUUUCCUGAGUACACCCUUUAACCGUAUCAUAUAUGUAAAUUUUCCAAUUGAUAGAAUUCUUAAUUGUAAGGGUAAAUUUGACAUUUUUUUUGAACGGCAAAUUUGGAUCACUGACGGACCACUGUAGUAUCAUUGUGCCACCAGCAGAACCACCCGAUC